rnacentral:rRNA from 1 species
GAUGACAUUAAUCCCGAUCUCGGCCUCCAAAAACCAAUUGAGGAGUUGCAUGUGGAUGUUAGAGAUGCUGCUAGAAGGGAGUAUUUGGCCAUGGGACCAUGCCGACCAACAGGUCAUGUCUAUGAACAAGAAAGAAUUGGGAAACAAAUGAGAGCCUUUCGUGAAGAGUGGUACAAGUCACAUGAUUGGUUGGAAUAUAGUGUUGCUAAAAAAGCUGCCUUUUGUGUUCAUUGUUUUCUCUUUAAGCAACCAAGAGCUGAAAACUAUGGAAUAGAAGCAUAUACAAAGAAAGGUUUUAGUAAUUGGAAAAAUGCUACUGCAUCUUUUGAGACUCAUGUUGGCAAUGUUAAUAGUGCUCAUAAUAGAGCUAGAAGACAUUGUAAAGCUUUUCAAAACCCAAGGCAAAGUGUUGUGAGGUUCCUUUUAUUGCAAGCUCUAGCUUUUCGUGGACAUGAUGAGUCAGCUAACUCAAAUAAUAAGGGGAAUUUCUUAGAGAUGGUGCAAUGGUAUAAAAAGAAGGAUGAAAAUGCUGUGAAGUUGUUAGAUUGCGCUCCUAGAAAUAAUCUGUUGACUUCUGGAGAAAUACAAAAGCAUUUGUGUAAAGCUUGUGGAGAAACUACGGAAGCCAUUGUGAAGGAUACUGGGGAUACAAAUUUUGCUGUCCUUGUUGAUGAGGCUCGAGAUGCAUCUAUCAAGGAGCAAAUGGUUGUGGCCUUGAGGUAUUUGAACAGUCAGGGAGAAGUGAUUAAGAGGUUUCUUGCGAUUAAACAUGUUGCCGACACAACAUCAUCUUCAUUGAAGGCAGCCUUGGAUGCUCUGUUUCUUAAACAUGGCCUAUCUAUCCAUAGAGUGUGGGGCCAAGGAUACGAUGGGGCAUCGAACAUGAGAGGUGAAUUCCAUGGGCUGCAAAGAAGGUUACUAGAUGAGAAUCCUUAUGCUUUUUAUAUUCAUUGCUUUGCCCAUCAGUUGCAGUUAGUGGUAGUUGUUGUUGCCAAGUGUUGUCCUUCUGUCUUGGAUUUCUUUAGCUACACUUCUAUGAUUGUCAACAGUGUUAACGAUUCUUGUAAGCGACAUGAUCAGUUAGCCCAAGCACACCAUGAUAAUCUUGGGAAGAAAUUGGAGAUUGGAGAAAUUUUUACAGGGAGAGGGAAGAACCAACAAACUAACCUUACAAGACCCGACACAUCACAAAAAACCACAGCACGAGGUUUGAUACGUCAUAUGGAGAGCUUUGAGUUUGUGUUUAUACUGCAUCUAAUGAUCAAAUUGUUGGGAAAAACUAAUGAUCUAUCACAGUGCUUGCAAAAAAAGAACCAGAACAUUGUUUGUCCUAUGGGCUUGAUUCAGACCACAUUGCAGAAACUUAAUGAUAUGAGGCAUCAGGGUUGGGAUGAGUUAGAAGAGGUAAAGGCCUUUUGUCUCCAACAUAACAUCAUUAUUCCAAACAUGAUGGAAACAUUAGCUAUUGACGGUCGUUCAAGAGGUCGCGGCGGCCAAUUGGUAACUCACUUGCAUUAUUACAAUCAUGAAAUAUUUAAUGUGGUGCUUGACCAGAUUAUUGUUGAGUUCAACAAUCGCUUUGCUGAGAAAUCUACUCAACUAUUGAGAUGCAUUGAUUGUCUUGACCCAAGAAAUUUGUUUGCCAACUUUGAUAUAAAUAAGCUGGUUGAACUUGCUCAGAUGUAUGGGGCUAAUUUCUCGGAAUAUGAGUGCAGAGUUCUUAGGGACCAACUUGAGACAUUUGUCAUUGAAGCUAGAGAUGAUACUGAAUUUUUAAGAUGCAUUGAUCUUGGCCAGCUUGCUAUGAAGAUGGUUCAAACAGAUAGGCACACACAUUUUCGAUUAGUAUAUCGUCUCAUUGAAUCGGCCUUGAUCCUGCCUGUCGCUACAGCAACCGUAGAAAGAGCUUUCUUAGCUAUGAGCAUUGUCAAAACUGAGUUGGGGAAUAAGAUGAAUGAUGAAUGGAUGAAUCAUCGUUUGGUGUGCUAUAUUGAGCGUGAUGUAUUUGCAAGCAUUGAUGAUAUUAAGAUUAUACAGUGCUAUCAAAAAAUGAGGAAAUGCAAGGGGCUACUACCUCGUGCACUUCGUGACAAUGGUAUUUUUUUUGCAAAAUAUCAUACGAACAAUUGA